rnacentral:tRNA from 1 species
GGGUAUAGCUCAAUGGUAGAGCACCUGCCUCGCAUGCGUGAGGUCCUGCGUUUGAUCCCCAAAUCUG